rnacentral:rRNA from 1 species
AGUCGGACGGUAGCACAGAGGAGCUUGCUCCUUUGGGUGACGAGUGGCGGACGGGGGAGUAAUGUCUGGGGAUCUGCCCGAUAGAGGGGGAUAACCACUGGAAACGGUGGCUAAUACCGCAUAACGUCGCAAGACCAAAGAGGGGGACCUUCGGGCCUCUCACUAUCGGAUGAACCCAGAUGGGAUUAGCUAGUAGGCGGGGUAGUGGCCCACCUAGGCGACGAUCCCUAGCUGGUCUGAGAGGAUGACCAGCCACACUGGAACUGAGACACGGUCCAGACUCCUACGGGAGGCAGCAGUGGGGAAUAUUGCACAAUGGGCGCAAGCCUGAUGCAGCCAUGCCGCGUGUAUGAAGAAGGCCUUCGGGUUGUAAAGUACUUUCAGCGGGGAGGAAGGCGAUGCGGUUAAUAACCGAGUCGAUUGACGUUACCCGCAGAAGAAGCACCGGCUAACUCCGUGCCAGCAGCCGCGGUAAUACGGAGGGUG